rnacentral:rRNA from 2 species
UGGGGAAUAUUGCGCAAUGGGGGAAACCCUGACGCAGCAACGCCGCGUGAAGGAUGAAGGUUUUCGGAUUGUAAACUUCUUUGAUGAGGGACGAACACAAUGACGGUACCUCAAAAACAAGCCACGGCUAACUACGUGCCAGCAGCCGCGGUAAUACGUAGGUGGCGAGCGUUGUCCGGAAUUACUGGGUGUAAAGGGCGUGUAGGCGGGAAAGCAAGUCAGAUGUAAAAUACCGGGGCUUAACUCCGGGGCCGCAUCUGAAACUGUUUUUCUUGAGUGUCGGAGAGGAAAGCGGAAUUCCUAGUGUAGCGGUGAAAUGCGUAGAUAUUAGGAGGAACACCAGUGGCGAAGGCGGCUUACUAAACCGCAACUGACGCUCAUGCACGAAGGCGUGGGGAUCAAACAGG